GCAAAAGGGGUUAUCAUACUACCUGAUGUAUGGACUUUUACACCAGGCUUUUACCCUGCACGAGCUGGCCAACUUGAGGGGAACUGAAGUGGGCAAACCUCACCCUGUCCAUGAACAAGAAAGCUGGAUUCGUUGAGAGAGUAUCAUUAAAGCUGAAAUCCAGCAUGAAACCAGGGAGGUGAAGGCCAUCGCACAGGCCAUGUGCCGACUUUUCACUCCCCACCAGCUUGUGACUUGCUCCAUGAAGGGAGCAACAACUACAACGGGGUCACCAAGACCAAGCCUCCCCGCUGCUGAGAGAAAUGCAAUCAUUGAUGUCAUAGCCAAAACCUUUGACAAGCCUCUGGUGGAUGUUGAAGAAAAGAUGAGAGGUUGUUUAAGGCGUCUGCGGCUGAUGCACAAGUAGACUGAAGUCUUUGUAAAUAACAUGUGC